UACGAAGGGUGCAAGCGUUAAUCGGAAUUACUGGGCGUAAAGGGUGCGUAGGCGGUUGUUUAAGUCUGUCGUGAAAUCCCCGGGCUCAACCUGGGAAUGGCGAUGGAUACUGGGCAGCUAGAGUGUGUCAGAGGAUGGUGGAAUUCCCGGUGUAGCGGUGAAAUGCGUAGAGAUCGGGAGGAACAUCAGUGGCGAAGGCGGCCAUCUGGGACAACACUGACGCUGAGGCACGAAAGCGUGGGGAUCAAACAGG
rnacentral:rRNA from 1 species